CACCUUAAGAGUAGCCUACAAGGUGUUGGAGAUAUGAAUAAUUAUAGAUAAGAGAUUAUAUGAGUACUGAGAAUAUUGAAGAGAGAGAAAGUGCAGUUAGGAAAGGGAUUGAGUGUGAUGAAAGGGAGUGCUGGAACAGGGAAAGUUGGACCCAUUGCCACCUUAAGAGUACAAGGUGUCAAGAGAUAUGAAUGUGUAGAUGGAUGAGAGUAUUGAAGUAUUGAGAAUAUUAAAGAGGGAGAAAGUGUUGAGCAAGGGAUUGAGUGUGAUAAGAGGAAGUGCUGCAACAGGGAAAGAUGAAAUUAUUGCCAUCUUAAGAGAACAAGUUGUUGGAGAUAUGUAGAUAUGAAUAAUGUAGAUGGAUAGAGCUAAUGAGAGCGUAUUGAAGUACAGAGAAUAUACAAGAGAAUAUGUUGAUAAGGAAAUGAUUGAGUGUGGUGAGCGGGAGCGUUGGAACAGGGAAAGAUAAAGCCAUUUCCACCUCCAUAAGAGAACAAGGUGGAAAUACUGAUACACAGAUGAAGAGACACUCACUUUGGCUAUACGGGAAUUGUAAACAUUAACCUGAUGGACGUGCUGUUUGGAGAUUUAGUAUACUGAGCACAAAAAACACUGUGCCGACUCAGGGCCACGACGACCCAGCGACUCAGGGUACACAAGGUCUUUGGUGUGAAAUGUGGAUGUGAAAGAGUCGUACAUGGUUGGAACGAGGUCUAGAAACGAUCGCCGGAUGCUGAGUUGUCGCAGUGUGAAGGGGCCCUAAAAAUCGCUGGGUUGUUGUGGCCCAGAGUCAGCACAGAGUGAACAAGGCCUAAGGGAAUAAGUAUACUGUUUGAUGCAAGGAAAUGAAGUGAAAAUUUAACCAUGAUGUGUGGAAUAAGGGGAAAUAGAAGAUAACGGCUGUAUUUACUGUAUUUGUAUAUUAUGAUAAAUUGAGAAUGUGUUAUCUAUAAUGUAAGGAAAUGUAAGAAAAUCAAAUUAUAUUAUACUGUUGAUGUUAAAAAAAGCAAUAGGAAUGGAGAGAGAGAGAGAGAGAGAGAGAGAGAGAGAGAGAGAGAGAGAGAGAGAGAGAGAGAGAGAGAGAGAGAGAGAGAGAGAGAGAGAGAGAGAGAU